UACGAAGGGGGCUAGCGUUGCUCGGAAUCACUGGGCGUAAAGGGUGCGUAGGCGGAUUGUUAAGUCGGGGGUGAAAUCCUGGAGCUCAACUCCAGAACUGCCUUCGAUACUGGCGAUCUCGAGUCGGGAGAGGUGAGUGGAACUGCGAGUGUAGAGGUGAAAUUCGUAGAUAUUCGCAAGAACACCAGUGGCGAAGGCGGCUCACUGGCCCCGAUACUGACGCUGAGGUGCGAAAGCGUGG
rnacentral:rRNA from 1 species